GCAAACUUGGUCAUUUAGAGGAAGUAAAAGUCGUAACAAGGUCUCCGUAGGUGAACCUGCGGAGGGAUCAUUACGAGCCGCGGCCCUUUCCGGGCCGGGACACCACCCCGUGACAUCACGACGCCGUUGCUUCGGCGGGCCGCCGCGGCCCGGGGCUUCCCCCGCGCCCGCGCCCGCCGGAGGCCCCCCAAAACCGAGCCUUGUCCGCCGUCUGAGUGGGAUGUGAAUGCCUAAAACUUUCAACAACGGAUCUCUUGGCUCUGGCAUCGAUGAAGAACGCAGC
rnacentral:misc_RNA from 1 species